rnacentral:rRNA from 1 species
AGCCAGCACAUGCCGCGUGAGUGAUGAAGGCCCUAGGGUUGUAAAGCUCUUUUGUGCGGGAAGAUAAUGACGGUACCGCAAGAAUAAGCCCCGGCUAACUUCGUGCCAGCAGCCGCGGUAAUACGAAGGGGGCUAGCGUUGCUCGGAAUCACUGGGCGUAAAGGGUGCGUAGGCGGGUCUUUAAGUCAGGGGUGAAAUCCUGGAGCUCAACUCCAGAACUGCCUUUGAUACUGAAGAUCUUGAGUUCGGGAGAGGUGAGUGGAACUGCGAGUGUAGAGGUGAAAUUCGUAGAUAUUCGCAAGAACACCAGUGGCGAAGGCGGCUCACUGGCCCGAUACUGUCGCUGAGGCACGAAAGCGUGGGGAGCAAACAGGAUUAGAUACCCUGGUAGUCCACGCUGUAAACGAUGGAUGCUAGCCGUCAGCAAGCAUGCUUGUUGGUGGCGCAC